rnacentral:lncRNA from 1 species
CUGCUUACUGCGCUCCCCGGGCACGGCGCCGUUCAGCAGCCCCUCACUGCACUUCUCGGCCAUCCCUGGAGGCUGGAGCGCAACGCCAGCUGCCCGCUGCGGGGUCCCCGUCUCUCCGUUGCGCCGACACUUGCACGUUUCAAUCCACUGUCAGAGCAAGCGUGCCCAUGCCGCCGCCCGGCCCCUCCCGCCGCACCGGGUGAGCCCACGGAGGCGCCGCCGCGCCGCGCCCGGUCCGCCGCCGGUACCGAUACCGGUGAGCGCCAGGCCCCGUGCCCGGUGCCACCGCCGGUGCUGCCGAGUUAAUGAAAGUUUGGAGGUCGGUGGGGGCUGG